rnacentral:rRNA from 1 species
UGGUAGUAACGCGUGGGUAACCUGCCCUUAAGUCUGGGAUACCAUUUGGAAACAGAUGCUAAUACCGGAUAAAAGCUACUUUCGCAUGAAAGAAGUUUAAAAGGCGGCGUAAGCUGUCGCUAAAGGAUGGACCUGCGAUGCAUUAGCUAGUUGGUAAGGUAACGGCUUACCAAGGCGAUGAUGCAUAGCCGAGUUGAGAGACUGAUCGGCCACAUUGGGACUGAGACACGGCCCAAACUCCUACGGGAGGCAGCAGCC